ACGCCUUCAAGGAAAUAUACUGAAGGAAGGGCUAAGGCCUGAAGCGUCGCAAUGAUAUCCACAAUAGACGGCGAUUUACUUACAUACGUGUCCAAGUGGCCGUUCGAGAGAUAUGUUAGUACUAUACGUUUAAGCCUGGUUGGGAUAUCUUAAGUGAAGGUUUCAUUGUACGUGUAACUUAGUUAUAAAUAUGCAUGAUCCAUCGAAUUAAAAGUACACUACAUUUAACACUGGAAGAUAAAUAACAACUUUUCCAUCCCCCUCAUGACAUCUACGAAGUUUUUUUCAAGUUGUGAGAAGCACUUAGGCGUCUCCCUUUUGCUAAAAACAUACCUGACCCAUUUAAGCAUGUUUUCUGUGUUGACAUCCAGUAACAAUUUUUUAAGCUUUCCGUCGGUAUCAGUGACGAUGACCUCCAUUCCGAAGCUAUAGCCAUAUCAAUAUAAUGUGUGACAGUUGGGUAUCUGACGCUUGAGGUGCCACCUUUCAAAUCGAAGAGACCCCGUUUCCCAAAGGCUGCGGAGUUGAGCCGUGGGGAUUUAUUUGUGGUUUUUUUUGGCAUACUGUGCUGCCCUGGGCUAAAAGGGAAUAAAAUGGGAGAAGGAACGGCCGUUUCCGAGACUGCUGCUAAAUUCCUUUCGCUGUUCCGCUCCGUUGUGAGAUAAAUCAAUAAAUGUAGAGUAUCAUGUACGUACUUUUUCUAUUUAUCCCGCCUGGUCUGAGACACCAUUUUUGCCACGGAGACUGCAUAAGUGCAAAAGUUUGGCGAG
rnacentral:sRNA from 2 species